rnacentral:rRNA from 1 species
GAAUAUUGGACAAUGGGCGAAAGCCUGAUCCAGCCAUGCCGCGUGAGUGAUGAAGGCCUUAGGGUUGUAAAGCUCUUUCAGUAGGGAAGAUAAUGACGGUACCUACAGAAGAAGCCCCGGCUAACUUCGUGCCAGCAGCCGCGGUAAUACGAAGGGGGCUAGCGUUGUUCGGAUUUACUGGGCGUAAAGCGCACGUAGGCGGAUCAUUAAGUCAGGGGUGAAAUCCUGGAGCUCAACUCCAGAACUGCCUCUGAUACUGGUGAUCUUGAGUCCGGAAGAGGUGAGUGGAACUCCUAGUGUAGAGGUGGAAUUCGUAGAUAUUAGGAAGAACACCAGUGGCGAAGGCGGCUCACUGGUCCGGUACUGACGCUGAGGUGCGAAAGCGUGGGGAGCAAACAGG